CCUGGUAGUCCACGCCGUAAACGUUGGGAACUAGAUGUAGGGACCAUUCCACGGUUUCUGUGUCGCAGCUAACGCAUUAAGUUCCCCGCCUGGGGAGUACGGCCGCAAGGCUAAAACUCAAAGGAAUUGACGGGGGCCCGCACAAGCGGCGGAGCAUGCGGAUUAAUUCGAUGCAACGCGAAGAACCUUACCAAGGCUUGACAUAUACCGGAAAGCUGCAGAAACGUAGCCCCCGCAAGGUCGGUAUACAGGUGGUGCAUGGUUGUCGUCAGCUCGUGUCGUGAGAUGUUGGGUUAAGUCCCGCAACGAGCGCAACCCUCGUUCUAUGUUGCCAGCACGUAAUGGUGGGAACUCAUAGGAGACCGCCGGGGUUCAACUCGGAGGAAGGUGGGGAUGACGUCAAAUCAUCAUGCCCCUUAUGUCUUGGGCUUCACGCAUGCUACAAUGGCCGAUACAAAGGGCUGCAAUACCGCAAGGUGGAGCGAAUCCCAAAAAGUCGGUCUCAGUUCGGAUUGAGGUCUGCAACUCGACCUCA
rnacentral:rRNA from 1 species